CGGCAACAGCUCAAAUUUGAAAUCUGCCCGCAAGGGCCGAGUUGUAAUUUGUAGAAGAUGCUUCGGGUGUGGCCCGGUCUAAGUUCCUUGGAACAGGACGUCAUAGAGGGUGAGAAUCCCGUGUGACCGGACGCCUACGCCCGCGUGAAGCUCUUUCGAC
rnacentral:rRNA from 1 species